GACGAACGCUGGCGGCGUGCUUAACACAUGCAAGUCGAACGAAGUGGCGAACGGGUGAGUAACGCGUAAUCAACCUGCCCUUCAGCGGGGGACCACAGUUGGAAACGACUGCUAAUACCUCAUACUGAAGGAGGGGCUUGCGUCUGAUUAGCUAGUUGGAGGGGUAACGGCCCACCAAGGCGAGGAUCAGUAGCCGGUCUGGGAGGAUAAACGGCCACAAUGGGACUGAGACACGGCCCAGACUCCGACGGGAGGCAGCAGUGGGGAAUCUUCCGCCAUGGACGAAAGUCGGACGGAGCAACGCCGCGGGAGUGAUGACGGCCUUCGGGUUGUAAAGCUCUGUUAAUCGGGACGCGGUACCGGAAUAGAAAGCCACGGCUAACUACGUGCCAGCAGCCGCGGUAAUAC
rnacentral:rRNA from 1 species